AUGUCUUCUAUAUGUAUUUCUAUUAGGUAUAGAUCCAGAUACAUUCAGGAUCACAAGGUAUACCCUAUUCAGCUACAGUGGCUGUUGCCAGUUUUCCAAAGUGAUUUUUUGAUUUACAUUCCCACCAGCACUACUCAUAGAUUUUUAAAUGCCACAUUGAAUAGAAUGGGUUGUGGAAGGAACAGAAGGAAGAGGGAAGGAAGAGGAAAGGAACAAAGACUAAGUCCUCAGGGACACCUACCUCAAAGACUGCAAUAGAAAACAUCAAAUAAAGAGCAAUAAGUGGGAGAGUGUAGUGAUAUGGAAGUCAAGGUAGGGGAUUAAUGAUGUAAAAUGCUUGGAUGACAAUGAUUAUCUGGGUAAUCCUGUUGAAUACGAAAUUAGGAACUCAUUGACAAAGAUGCUUCAUUAAAAUGGGUGGGGGUAGAAUUAAGAUUAGAAGGAAUUGUGUGUGUGCUCAGUUGCUCAUUUGUGUCAGACUCUUUGCAACCCCCUGGACUGUAGCCAUCCAGGCUCCUCUGUCCACGGGAUGGCAUGCAGCAUCCAAAACCAUCCCUCAGCGUGGUACUGCUGAAGGUGAGGCUGGUCCCCAUGACCCCCAGAGCCGAGCUUAGCCACUCUGACCUCAGCCUCAUCCAGCAGCAGCAGCAACAGCAACAGCAGCGGGAGGAAGCUGAGUAAGAGAGGCUGGAGGUGCCCAGGAUAUCCUCUACAGCCACUGCUCCAGAUGGAGAAGUCUUUAGGCUACCGUAAGAAUAAGACUGAAAUCCAGAGGCAGGAGGCUUAAGUUAAAAACCUGAGAACACCAGAGAACUCCUGACUCCAGGGAACAUUAAUCGAUAAGAGCUCAUCCAAAAGCCUUCAUACCUACACUGAAACCAAACACCACACAAGAGCCAAUAAGUUCCAGAACAAGACAUACCACACAAAUUCUCCAGCAACACAGGAACAUAGCCCUGAGCUUCAAUAUACAGGCUGCCCAAAGUCACACCAAACCCACUGACAUCUCAAAACUCACUACUGGACACUUCACUGCACUCCAGAGAGAAGAAAUCCAGCUCCACCCACCAGAACACCAACACAAGCUUCCCUAACCAGGAAUCCUUGACAAGCCACCCGUCCAAACCCACCCACAGUGAGGAAACCCCACAAUAAAGAGGAACCACGAACUGCCAGAAUACGGAAAGGCCACCCCAAACACAGCACUCUAAACAAGACGAAAAGGCAAAGAAAUACUCAGCAGGUAAAGGAACAGGAUAAGUGAAGUAGCUCGGUCGUGCCGACUCUUUGCGACCCCAUGGACUGCAGCCCACCAAUUGCCUCCAUCCAUGGGAUUCUCCAGGCAAAAAUACUGGAGACGCUUGCCAUUUCCCUCUCCAGGGCAUCUUCCCCACCCAGGGAUCGAACCCAGGUCUCCUGCAUGGCAGGCAGACGCUUUAACCUCUGAGCCACCAGGGAAGCCCCAAAGGAACAGGAUAAAUGCCCACCAAACCAAACAAAAGAGGAAGAGAUAGGGAAUCUACCUGAGAAAGAAUUCUUAAUAAUGAUAGUGAAAAUGAUUCAAAAUCUUGAAAACAAAAUGGAGUUACAGAUAAAUAGCCUGGAGACAAGGAUUGAGAAGAUGCAAGAAAGGUUUAACAAGGACAUAGAAGAAAUAAAAAAGAGUCAAUAAAUAAUGAAUAAUGCAAUAAAUGAGAUCAAAAACACUCUGGAAGGAAGCAACAGUAGAAUAACGGAGGCAGAAGAUAGGAUAAGUAAGGUAGAAGAUAGAAUGGUAACAAUAAAUGAAGCAGAGAGGAAAAAAGAAAAAUGAAUUAAAAGAAAUGAGGACAACCUCAGAGACCUCUGGGACAUGUUAAAUUCCCCAACAUUCAAAUCAUAGGAGUCCCAGAAGAAGAAGACAAAAAGAAAGGCCAUUAGAAAAUACUUGAGGAGAUAGAGGUUGAAAACUUCCCUAAAAUGGGGAAGGAAAUAAUCACCCAAGUCCAAGAAACCCAGAAAGUCCCAAACAGGAUUAACCCAAGGUGAAACACCCCAAGACACAUAUUAAUCAAAUUAACAAAGAUCAAACACAAAGAACAAAUAUUAAAAGCAGCAAGGAAAAACAACAAAUAACACACAAGGAUUCCUAUAAGGAUAAAAGCUGAUCUUUCAAUAGAAACUCUUAAAAAAAAAAAAAAAGAAACUCUUCAGGCCAGAAGGGAAUGGCAGGACAUACUUAAAGUGAUGAAAGAAAAUAACGUACAGCCCAGAUUACUAUACCCAGCAAGGAUCUCAUUCAAAUAUGAAGGAGAAAUCAAAAGCUUUACAGACAAGCAAAAGCUGAGAGAAUUCAGCACCACCAAACCAGAUCUCCAACAAAUGCUAAAGGAUCUUCUCUAGAUAGUAAACACAGAAAGUGUGUAUAAACUCGAACACAAAACAACAAAGUAAAUGGCAACAGGAUCAUACUUAGCAAUAAUUACCUUAAAUGGGUUGAAUGCCCCAACCAGAAGACAAAGACUGGUUGAAUGGAUACAAAAACAAGACCCCUAUAUAUGCUAUCUACAAGAGACCCACCUCGAAACAAGGGAC
ensembl:lncRNA